UACGGAGGGAGCUAGCGUUGUUCGGAAUUACUGGGCGUAAAGCGCACGUAGGCGGACAUUUAAGUUGGAGGUGAAAGCCUUGGGCUCAACCCAAGAAUUGCCUUUGAUACUGGAUGUCUCGAGACCGGGAGAGGUGAGUGGAAUUCCGAGUGUAGAGGUGAAAUUCGUAGAUAUUCGGAAGAACACCAGUGGCGAAGGCGGCUCACUGGCCCGGUUCUGACGCUGAGGUGCGAAAGCGUGGGGAGCAAACAGG
rnacentral:rRNA from 1 species